AGAGGCGGGUGAAGUCUCGCGAGAGUUAAGAACCAUCGCGAGGCGCCGCCCGAGUCACGUGAUUCGCGGCGCCCAAUAGACAGCCCGCCCCUCCUUGCGUUGGGGACGCCGAGUGGGCGGGGCUUAAUGGGACGGAAAUGAUGCCACUGGGCUGCGCCUGGCGCUGAGCGCAGAUCUCUAUCUUGUGAUCAAAGGAAGACAUGUCAACAUGCUUGCCUACCUGUGGAAUAGCACGCUGGACCUGGGAUCUGUCGUUCUACCAUGGAUUCUGCCUCUCUCUAGCUGUGAGGCUAGCCCAUAUUAGUCCCCUAAUGAUCUGCAUGUGAUGGGAGCCUGCCAGUCUCGCUGAGCUCAGGGGGACAGUGCUGGCAGGGGGACAGUGGACAGGCCUUCCUGAUGUAAGCACCGCUGCUCGGGGCCCUGUCCCAUCUCACCAUGCAGCCCCCAGAGCUCCACCCAAAUGUCACUUCCUGAAGAAAGCCCUUCCUGGCUGCCCAGACUAGGCUGGAUCCCGUCACAUGCUCCGAACACCCUAUACUUCGGCUUCACCGCAGCUAUGUGAUUGUCUUGCAGUAUUACCUAUGGAGUGAACUAGUGACUGAUGUCUGCCUUCCUCUCUACCUCCACCUCCUCCCAGACAUGAGCUCAAGGAGGGCAGGAACUCGGUUUGUCUUGUUCACAGUCGGAUCUCCAGCUCCUGGCACAAUCUGAGUGCUCAUUACAUACUGAUGAGUGAGGGAGUGAAUGAGAGGAUGGUUAGGAUGUCGUCAGACUGAGAUGGCAGGGAGGAGAAUUUCAGGAGAAAGACAGCUCAAAGGGCCCAAAAGUAUUAGAGCAUGGAGCUUAUGACAGCACCAGGCAAAGUCGAGUUCAUUCAUAGAUUCCAGCCUUUGUGAAUGAGCUGGAUGUCCCGAAGGCGCCUCUGUGUACCAGAGGCUGCCAGACCAUCAUUCUUCUCCUCACCACUGUGUCCCAAGUGCCUGCCAUGAAUGAGUAGGCACAUUCACCCAGCUUCUGCAAGUCCUUUUACUUGUCCCCAGAAAGUCCCCUUUGCACUCCCUCCGUAGCUUUUCUCACCUCCCCGCUGUUUAAAUUACUCCACUUCCUCCUGAAAUGAAGGUCAUUUACGAAGCUC